UAAGGAAUAUUGGUCAAUGGAGGCAACUCUGAACCAGCCAUGCCGCGUGCAGGAAGAAGGCCCUAUGGGUCGUAAACUGCUUUUUGAACAAGAGAAAACCCCGGUACGUGUACUGGGUUGAUAGUAUUGUUAGAAUAAGCAUCGGCUAACUUCGUGCCAGCAGCCGCGGUAAGACGAAGGAUGCAAGCGUUAUCCGGAUUCAUUGGGUUUAAAGGGUGCGUAGGCGGUGUGUCAAGUCAGUUGUGAAAUCUCCGAGCUUAACUCGGAACGGUCAACUGAUACUGUCACACUAGAGUACAGAAGGGGCAAUCGGAAUUCUUGGUGUAGCGGUGAAAUGCGUAGAUAUCAAGAGGAACACCUGAGGCGAAGGCGGGUUGCUGGGCUGAUACUGACGCUGAGGCGCGAAAGCUAGGGUAGCAAACGGGAUUAGAUACCCAGGUAGUCCCUGAGCGGGCUGGCAAGGCGCAU
rnacentral:rRNA from 1 species